UUUUAUUCAUUUUAAACCCUUUCAUUUUUGAAUUUUUGUCAAAGCAUUUAGAAAAAAUAAAUAGAAUUUUUUGUGUUUUUAUUUUGAUUGUAUUUUUAUUAUUUUAAGUGUUUAAUUUUAUUUUAGUUUUAUUUAGUUUAUUUAAUUUUUGUCUCUAAGAGAUAGUAUUAGGGGUAUUUGUGGAACUUGAAAAAUUGUUCCACCC
rnacentral:lncRNA from 1 species